rnacentral:tRNA from 1 species
GGGCGAUUAGCUCAGCGGUAGAGCACUGCAUUCACACUGCAGGGGUCGCAAGUUCGAAACUUGCAUCGCCCACCA